UUUAUUAAUUAUGAAAAAUUCAGCGAAUAGUGAGUCAGAAGAUAAUGAAAGCUAAACAAAGCAUAAUCUGUCAGCUGUCUGUAUGUGCAGAGUUGCUUUUCUGUUGGUUUAUUAAUUUUACUUCAUAGGUUAGCCGUUAAAAUAAUUUCGUGGACAUCAGCUGUAAGCUCAAAUAUAUGUAUGUAAGCGGAUAAUUGAGAAACCACUUCAAUUUUAACGACUUCUCUAAAGUCUUCAUAUUGCCUUUUCGCACAGCCUCACGUAUAAAGUAUCCCAAGUAAUUAUAACAUUAUUUAGAAAAUUCCUUAAACUUAUUAUUUACUUAUUGAACAACUCCUAUUUAUCCGUUUUGUUUUGACCACGUCGUAAGUCUGCCAUUUUUUUACAUUCAUUUUAAACUCAUUCUUCUCACUGCCCAACAAUUUACGGUCAAAAUUUGCCAACAUAUACUAUUUUGUAACUGUAAAUUGUAAAUUUUUCCAGGAAAUCGUGCAAAUAUUCAUUUAAAAUGCUACCGAAACUUAAAAUAUCAGCAUUUCUCUUAAAGCGUCUGGAGCGCAUCAAACAGCAGUGCAGUGGCUGUCUCUUUGGCGAGCUAUAUGGAGAAGGCACUGUGUUACUUAUGGGAUUUAAUGUUGAAUCCACCAUAGAACAUCUGAAUUACGAACCAAUUCAAUUCAAAUUCCCUGCCGAAUUAGACUUGUGCGGGUUGGUGAAAUUCGGAGACUGCACCGAUGCUGAGGCACAUUUAAAUGAAAUUUUAAAGGACGUAGAUAUUACGGAUAAUUCCAAUACUAUUACAGUGUGAGUUGGGCGCUGCUCAGAUUUCUGAACAGUUCCUAAUGGCUACAGUUCUAGAUAAGAUAUUUUUGUAAACUAUACUUUACAAGUCUCUCAUCAUUCCCGUCGUACUUUAUGGUGCAGAAGUGUGGACGAUGUCAACAUCCGAUGAGACGGCACUAGGAGUUUUCGAGAGAAAGGUUUUGCACAAGAUUUAUGGUCCCUUAAACAUUGACAACGGCGAAUACUGCAGACGAUGGAACGAUGACGACAUAGACAUAGUCCCGCGAAUAAAAAAACAGCGGCUACGCUGGCUGGGUCAUGUUGUUCGAAUGGAUGAAAGUAUUCGAUGCAGUACCCGCUGUUGGAAGCCGAGGAAGAGGGAGACCUCCAGUCCGAUGGAAGGACCAGGUGGAGAGGGACCUGGCUUCGCUUGGUAUAACCAAUUGGCGCCAAACUGCCAGAAGAAGGUAUACGUGGCGCGCUGUUGUGGACUCGGGUUAUAACCGCGUAAGCGAUGUCUACGCCAGUCCAGAAGAAGAAGAUAUUAUCGCUAAACAUAGAAAUGUAUUCAUCAAUUGCCCAUUAUAUAAAAAUCCAGUGUCCGUGUGUAUGUUCCGAAUGAACUCAAAAACGACACAACUGAUAUUCAUGAAAGUUGGCAUAUACAUGUAAUUUGGUCUAACUUGGAUGAUAGGAUAGUUAUUAUUCAAAUUAAUCGUCUCCACAAUUAAUAAUUAACACUUUAUAAUUUCUGUACUGUUGUUUAAACUAAAAAUGAACUGAUUGAGAGUGUCUUCCCAGAUAUACUAAAUAACUAUUUAAAUCAUGACUAGUUUAGUAAUAGGGCAAUUUUAGCAGCGAAAAAUGUUGAUGUUGAUCUGAUUAACUACCAGGUACUACAAUUAUUACCAGAUGAUUUAAUGCCAUUUAAGUCUAUCGAUGCUACUGUAGAAGAAAACGAGACAGUGAAUUUCCCAAUUGAAUUUUUAAAUUCUUUAGACUUAUCAGGAAUGCCACCACACAAUCUACGAUUGAAAAUUGGACCACCGAUUAUUCUACUGCGUAAUUUAAACCCUCCUAAACUAUGCAACGGCACACGUUUGGUGAUCAAAAGAAUUACUGGAAACGUUCUUGAAGCAACUAUUUUGACAGGAAAAUUUUGAAGGAGAAAUUGUUUUGUUACCACGUAUUCCGAUGAUACCAUCCUAUUCUCCCAUACCAUUUAAAAGACUACAGUUUCCCAUUCGUUUAGCUUUCGCUAUGACUAUAAAUAAAUCUCAAGACCAAACAAUGUCUAUUUGCGGAUUUGACAAUGUCAAUGCCCCAUGGGCAAUUAUUUGUAUUAACAAAGGAUCGAUUCACCAAAAAUAUUGUACAUCGAUUGGCGCUACAUUGAACAUUAACUGUGGUUUAUUACGAUUAAAGACAUUUAGAGUAUACAUAUAUAUAUCAAAUAAAAAUAUUUUAAGUAUUUAUUAAAUAUGUUAUAAAAAUGUUAUGUUAAUUUGUGUUAAAUUUUGUCUUUCAAAUACUUCUUGAAUCACUCAUCGACAGCAACGCGUGGCCGGGUCUGCUAGUAGUUGUAUAAACAAGGUAUCAACAAAUUAGAUACCAAUGCGUUUAAAUACAUAAAACGUAAAACUCUGGGCACACCUUCCCCC